ACCCUUUAAAGGGCACUGGGAUAAUAGUUUCCCACCAUGCAUGCUGGUAAAUAAAUGUUUACCCUCUAUGAUCUCCUUGUUCUAUGAUCUCCCAAUUACUAUUACUGACAAAAUAACAUAUGGAGCAUCAUCUGUGCAUAGUUUUCUGACGUCAGCAGCUACGAAAUUGUGGUUAAUUUGCAAAUCACUGAAAAGUGGGAAGAUAAUAUCCCACUGCCCAUUUAGCGACACUGGAUUUCGACCGAUUCAAUGUAGCUCUCAUUUCAAUUGCAAAUUGCAAAUAGAAGAUUCAUCAUCUCAAGACGUUUGAGGUUCCAUUCUUGAAACAUGAAUGAACAAAGCCUGCAUUGGAGUAAUUCCAACAUUGAAUUGUGAGAUAAAGAUUGGACUUCAACUACAGUAACUACUUCAAAAUAUAUAAACAAUUCACUAGUGUUUAUUCCAUCAAUUGAAUUCUAUAUAAACUUAUUGAUGCAUCUUUUGUGAUACUUCAAAAUGUAUAUACAAUUUACUAGUGUUCAUUCCAUCAAUUCUAUUUUAUAUAAGCUUUUAAAUUCAUUUAUUGUAAUACUUGAAGAAAUAUAUAUAUUCACUAAUGUGUUUUUCAUCAAAUUAUUCAUGUGAUUGAAAGAUAUCACUAAUCUUCCUCAUCAUGGUUCACUUCUAAAGUUUUAUCUAUAGUGAACAAAUGAUCAUAUUUCUCAUUUACUUAGUUAAAUUUAUUCUAUUGCCAAAGUGAGAACAACUUAUCCUGGUCAUCUAUAAGUGAUUUAUGAUGAAUGCUAAAAGUGGGAAACUAUUAUCCCACUGCUCUAUAAGUACCAAUAUGAUGGAAUCCAUAAGAUACCUUUAUAGGGCAGUGGGACAAUAAUUUCCCACCUCAAAACUCUAUGAAAAAUAAGUAUUUAAAAAGGAAUAAAGAUUUCAGUAUGUUUAUAAAGUACUUUU